UACGGAGGGUGCAAGCGUUGUUCGGAAUUACUGGGCGUAAAGCGCAUGUAGGCGGCCUGGAAAGUCGGGUGUGAAAUCCCGGAGCUCAACUCCGGAACUGCAUCCGAUACUGCCAGGCUCGAGUCUCGGAGAGGAUGGCGGAAUUUCCGGUGUAGAGGUGAAAUUCGUAGAUAUCGGAAGGAACACCAGUGGCGAAGGCGGCCGUCUGGACGAUGACUGACGCUGAGAUGCGAAAGCGUGGGUAGCAAACAGG
rnacentral:rRNA from 1 species